ACGUACACUCCUGCGGGAGGCAGCAGUGAGGAAUAUUGGACAAUGGGUGGAAGCCUGAUCCAGCCAUCCCGCGUGCAGGAAGACGGCCCUAUGGGUUGUAAACUGCUUUUAUCUGGGGAUAAACCUACUUACGUGUAAGUAGCUGAAGGUACCAGAAGAAUAAGCACCGGCUAACUCCGUGCCAGCAGCCGCGGUAAUACGGAGGGUGCAAGCGUUAUCCGGAUUUAUUGGGUUUAAAGGGUCCGUAGGCGGACUGAUAAGUCAGUGGUGAAAUCCGACAGCUUAACUGUCGAACUGCCAUUGAUACUGUUAGUCUUGAGUAAGGUUGAAGUGGCUGGAAUAAGUAGUGUAGCGGUGAAAUGCAUAGAUAUUACUUAGAACACCAAUUGCGAAGGCAGGUCACUAAGUCUUAACUGACGCUGAUGGACGAAAGCGUGGGGAGCGAACAGGAUUAGAAACCCGUGUAGUCCCAUGA
rnacentral:rRNA from 1 species